CUUGGUCAUUUAGAGGAAGUAAAAGUCGUAACAAGGUCUCCGUUGGUGAACCAGCGGAGGGAUCAUUAUAGAGGACAACCACCUCUCCAACCACUGUGAACCUACCUAUAUUUCCGUUGCUUCGGCAGGCGGCCCCGGGGGGGCUCUUUAGGCCUGAUGGUGCCUGCCGAGCGGCAAAAAAAAGAAACUCUUUGAAUUUCCAGCGUCUUUCAGUGGAUUACAAGGCCAACCUUUAUAGGGCGGCACAAUCAGUAAAAACUUUCAACAACGGAUCUCUUGGUUCUGGCAACGAUGAAGAACGCAGCGAAAUGCGAUAAGUAAUGUGAAWUGCAGAAUUCCGUGAAUCAUCGAAUCUUUGAACGCACAUUGCGCCCACUAACACUCUAGUGGGCAUGCCUGUCCGAGCGUCAUUACAACCCUCAAGCUAGUGGUUAUCUCUCCCCUAUUACUGGGGAAGAGAUGGUUAUAGGCCUGGUGUUGGAGCACUACAGCGAGGUGUAAGCCUGCUAUAGGCUCCGAAAUACAGUGGCGGGCCCCNGUUGGACCCCGAGCGCAGUAGUUUUCUUCUCGCUCCGGGCUAGUUCAACGUCUUUUUUAGGUGGCCCUGCCGUUAAAAUUGAAGCAGCUAGCUGUUUCUAAUAUAGAAGGUUGACCUCGGAUCAGGUAGGAAUACCCGCUGAACUUAAGCAUAUCAAUAAGCGGAGGA
rnacentral:rRNA from 1 species